CUUGGUCAUUUAGAGGAAGUAAAAGUCGUAACAAGGUUUCCGUAGGUGAACCUGCGGAAGGAUCAUUAUUGAUUUUAAAAGAUGUGCUGGCUUUAUGGCAUGUGCACUCUUAACAAAACCAAUAUCCACCUGUGCACAAUCUGUAGGCAUUUGCCUAUGUCUCUUUACAAACAACCAUUGAUGUAUUUGAAUGCUUUAUAAAUAUUGUAAAACAACUUUCAACAAUGGAUCUCUUGGUUCUCGCAUCGAUGAAGAACGCAGCGAAUUGCGAUAUGUAAUGUGAAUUGCAGAAUUCAGUGAAUCAUCGAAUCUUUGAACGCACAUUGCACCCUCUGGUAUUCCGGAGGGUAUGCCUGUUUGAGUGUCAUUAAUCUCUCAACACAGACAGGUUUUACUGCCUGUUCUGUUGUUUGGAUGUUGAAGGCUUGCUGGCAGUCUGACUGUCAGCUCCUUUUAAAUGCAUUAGCAGAAAGCAUGCAGAACUGGCUUCAGUUUGAUAAAAACUUAUCUGUGUUGCUGUCGCCAGGAUAAUGCUAGUUGUUUCAGCUUCUAAUAGUCCCCUCUGGGACUGUCUCAUUGAGGCAUACACACUUGACACUUGACCUCAAAUCAGGUAGGACUACCCGCUGAACUUAAGCAUAUCAAUAAGCGGAGGAUCUUGGUCAUUUAGAGGAAGUAAAAGUCGUAACAAGGUUUCCGUAGGUGAACCUGCGGAAGGAUCAUUAUUGAUUUUAAAAGGAUGUGCUGGCCUUUUGGCAUGUGCACUCUUAACAAAACCAAUAUCCACCUGUGCACAAUCUGUAGUCAAAGCUUGCUUUGUCUAUGUAUCUUUACAAACAACCAUUGAUGUAUUUGAAUGACUUAUUAAUAUUGUAAAACAACUUUCAACAAUGGAUCUCUUGGUUCUCGCAUCGAUGAAGAACGCAGCGAAUUGCGAUAUGUAAUGUGAAUUGCAGAAUUCAGUGAAUCAUCGAAUCUUUGAACGCACAUUGCACCCUCUGGUAUUCCGGAGGGUAUGCCUGUUUGAGUGUCAUUAAUCUCUCAACACAGACAGGUUUUGUUACCUGUUCUGUUGUUUGGAUUUUGAAGGCUUUGCUGGCAGUCUGACUGUCAGCUCCUUUUAAAUGCAUUAGCAGAAAUCAUGCAGAACUGGCCUCAGUUUGAUAAAGAUUUAUCUAUGUUGCUGUCGCCAGGAUAAUGCUAGUAUUUUUCAGCUUCUAAUAGUCCUUUCAGGACUGUCUCACUUGAGGCAUACAAACUUGACACUUGACCUCAAAUCAGGUAGGACUACCCGCUGAACUUAAGCAUAUCAAUAA
rnacentral:rRNA from 1 species